rnacentral:tRNA from 1 species
UUUUAUGUAGUUUAAAAAAAACAUUAUAUUUUCAUUAUAAAAUUAAUCAAAAUU